CCUACGGGUGGCUGCAGUGAGGAAUAUUGGUCAAUGGGCGUAAGCCUGAACCAGCCAAGUCGCGUGAGGGAUGAAGGUUCUAUGGAUCGUACACCUCUUUUAUAAGGGAAUAAAGUGUGGGACGUGUCCUAUUUUGUAUGUACCUUAUGAAUAAGGAUCGGCUACCUCCGUGCCAGCAGCCGCGGUAAUACGGGGGAUCCGCGCGUUAUCCGGAUUUAUUGGGUUUAAGGGGUGUGUAGGCGGCCUUUUACUACGUCGGGGCAAGUCUGUGGCUCAAUGAGAGAUUUGCCGGUGAAACGGGGGGGUUUGAGUCUGUUUGGGGCGGCCGGAUUGCUGGGGUUAGCGGUGAAAUGUUUAGAUA
rnacentral:rRNA from 1 species